rnacentral:lncRNA from 1 species
GUUGAGAACCGUUACUUGACUGGUACCUCCAGCCCACCAGCAGGCAAUGAUGGCAUCAGACUAGAGGAUCACCAGUAAAUCAUUGUAAACAAGCGUGGAAAGAGAGAAAGUCCACUUUAAGCGAUGGAAAAUCAGCCCCAAUUCUGAAGGAACAACCAUGAACAGAUGAUUUAAGGAGAAUCAAUUCUUUGCUCUUUGCAGAAGGAGCCAACAGAGUGAGAUGAAGGGGACAACUUCAGAUACUCAGGCAGAAGCAUAAGUCCCCACCUGCUGACCUGCUGCCUGCUAUCUUAACACGAAUUCUUCAUCUGAAUGGAUGAGCUUUUCACAGAGUUCCAAACUAAGGAAUCCAGGAGUGGCCAAUCCAGAGAUUCAUUCCUUAUCUUUGACGAACAUCUGAACUCCUGGCUCAUCCUGUGGAAUUCAGGCCAUACAGGAGAUCAAGGUCAUUUGCUUUGGGUUAAAUGAAUGUUGCCAGGUGGAGGUUGCUAGAGGGAGAGUGCUAUGUGAAAGUGCUGUAUAAACUGCUUGCUUUUCACAAACAGUAGUGAUUCUUUAUCCUGUCCAGCCUGCCACAACUGGACCAUCCUGUAUGUAAGUCCCCUUAAUAAAUCCUGUGUCUCAUUCACUGGCUUCAAGUCUCUUCCUGGGCCUCUUGAACGUGGUGCCACCUGUAUUGAAGUCAACAGAAGUUCAGCACAACACAGGUCAAAAUGAAGAUUCUGACUCAGUAGGUCAGGAUGUUCUAACGAGCUCUAGCUGACAUGAUACGUCAGGGCUGCAGACUAGCUUUGAGCAACAAGGUGCUAGAGAAAUACCUAUAG